rnacentral:rRNA from 1 species
GAUGAACGCUGGCGGCGUGCCUAAUACAUGCAAGUCGAGCGAAUGGAUUAAGAGCUUGCUCUUAUGAAGUUAGCGGCGGACGGGUGAGUAACACGUGGGUAACCUGCCCAUAAGACUGGGAUAACUCCGGGAAACCGGGGCUAAUACCGAAUAACAUUUUGAACCGCAUGGUUCGAAAUUGAAAGGCGGCUUCGCCUGUCACUUAUGGAUGGACCCGCGUCGCAUUAGCUAGUUGGUGAGGUAACGGCUCACCAAGGCAACGAUGCGUAGCCGACCUGAGAGGGUGAUCGGCCACACUGGGACUGAGACACGGCCCAGACUCCUACGGGAGGCAGCAGUAGGGAAUCUUCCGCGAUGGACGAAAGUCUGACGGAGCAACGCCGCGUGAGUGAUGAAGGCUUUCGGGUCGUAAAACUCUGUUGUUAGGGAAGAACAAGUGCUAGUUGAAUAAGCUGGCACCUUGACGGUACCUAACCAGAAAGCCACGGCUAACUACGUGCCAGCCGCCGCCGUAA